CUAUCCCCUAGGGCUCAUCUAAGACCUAAGAUGGCGGCGUUUGUACCGAGGGAAAGUCCCGACCAAGUACUGGGUGUGGAAAGCAGCCAAUGGACAAAUCUAUUAAGGAAGGUCUCAGAUGAGGACUUCUGGGCAUACAUUUAUUCUGGAAGCACAUUGUUCCGUUCAGAAGUAGGGGUGUGUGUGUGUGUGUGUACAGUAGGCUUUAUGCCCAGUGUGGAACCCAGCACAGAGCCC